AUCGUAUCGAGCCCAGUACACAACUGGUACUUAUUUUAUCGACCCCCUGAAAGAAUAAAAGGCAGCGUUGAUCGCGGUGGAAUUUAAACUCAAAUUGAAAAAAACAGACAA